CAUAGCGACUAUCGUGGCAUAUCAAUAAGCGGAGGAAAAGAAACUAACAAGGAUUCCCCUAGUAACGGCGAGUGAAGCGGGAAGAGCUCAAAUUUGAAAUCUUAAAGGGUUUCCCUUUACGAAUUGUAGUUUAAAGAAGUGUUUUCUGUUGGAGUUUCGGUAAAAGUUCUUUGGAAUAGGACAUCAUAGAGGGUGAGAAUCCCGUAUUUGACCGUUACUUUCCAGCUGUGUGAUACACUUUCAAAGAGUCGGAUUGUUUGGGAAUGCAGUCCAAAAUGGGUGGUAAAUUUCAUCUAAAGCUAAAUAUUGGCGAGAGACCGAUAGCGAACAAGUACCGUGAGGGAAAGAUGAAAAGAACUUUGAAAAGAGAGUUAAACAGUAGCGUGAAAUUGUCAAAAGGGAAGCGUUUGACACCAGUGUUGUUUAGUUGAAAAUCAAUUCAAUAAUUUUUGAUUUUAAGUAGUAUUGACUUCAUCAGCUUGCUGCUUUCUUUUCAGGAAAUUAUUGAAUGCACUUUUCAGUUAACAAGUCAACAUCAAUUUCUUUUGUUGUAAAAGGGUAAGAGGAAGGUGGCUUACGCUUCGGCGUAAGUGUUUAUAGCCUUUUACCUCUGCAAUCGGAGAGAUUGAGGUCAGCAGCGUAGACUCCUUCGGGGGUUAGAUACACUUGUGCUAAGCUAUAGCCUUGUAUAGACAACUUGUUGACUAUGCUCAGUCAUGUAGCUUACUCGCAUGUGCUAUUUUACCUACGCUUAGGAUGUUGAUAGUCACAGCGUGUAC
rnacentral:rRNA from 1 species